GACGGGGGGUCCAAGCGUUGUUCGGAAUCAUUGGGCGUAAAGCGUGUGCAGGUGGUUUGGUAAGUUGGAUGUGAAAGCCCCGAGCUUAACUUGGGAAGUGCAUUCAAAACUACCAAACUUGAGUAUGGAAGAGGGUCGUGGAAUUCCUGGUGUAGUGGUGAAAUACGUAGAUAUCAGGAGGAACACCGGUGGCGAAGGCGGCGACCUGGUCCUAUACUGACACUCAUACACGAAAGCGUGGGGAUCAAACAGG
rnacentral:rRNA from 1 species